GAUGAAGAACGUAGCGAAAUGCGAUAAGUAAUGUGAAUUGCAGAAUUCAGUGAACCAUCGAAUCUUUGAACGCACAUUGCGCCCCCUGGUAUUCCGGGGGGCAUGCCUGUCCGAGCGUCAUUACAACCCUCAAGCUCAGCUUGGUGUUGGGCCCCGCCGCCCCGGCGGGCCCUAAAGUCAGUGGCGGUGCCGUCCGGCUCCGAGCGUAGUAAUUCUUCUCGCUCUGGAGGUCCGGUCGUGUGCUCGCCAGCAACCCCCAAUUUUUUUCAGGUUGAACUCGGAUCAGGUAGGGAUACCCGCUGAACUUAAGCAUAUCAAUAAGCGGAGGA
rnacentral:misc_RNA from 1 species